rnacentral:rRNA from 1 species
AGAGUUUGAUCCUGGCUCAGGAUGAACGCUGGCGGCGUGCUUAACACAUGCAAGUCGAACGAAGAUAUUAAGAAUGAGAGCUUCGGCAGGAAUUUUUCUUAUCUUAGUGGCGGACGGGUGAGUAACGUGUGGGCAACCUGCCCUGCACUGGGGAAUAAUCAUUGGAAACGAUGACUAAUACCGCAUACGGUUCCUGGGAGGCAUCUUCCGGGAAAGAAAGGAUUUAUUCGGUGCAGGAUGGGCCCGCAUCUGAUUAGCUAGUUGGUGAGAUAACAGCCCACCAAGGCGACGAUCAGUAGCCGACCUGAGAGGGUGACCGGCCACAUUGGGACUGAGACACGGCCCAAACUCCUACGGGAGGCAGCAGUGGGGAAUAUUGCACAAUGGGCGAAAGCCUGAUGCAGCAACGCCGCGUGAAGGAAGAAGGGUUUCGGCUCGUAAACUUCUAUCAACAGGGACGAAAGAAAUGACGGUACCUGAAUAAGAAGCCCCAGCUAACUACGUGCCAGCAGCCGCGGUAAUACGUAGGGGGCAAGCGUUAUCCGGAAUUACUGGGUGUAAAGGGAGAGUAGGCGGCAAGGUAAGCGAUAUGUGAAAGCCUUAGGCUUAACCUGAGGAUUGCAUAACGAACUAUCUAGCUAGAGUACAGGAGAGGAAAGCGGAAUUCUUAGUGUAGCGGUGAAAUGCGUAGAUAUUAGGAAGAACACCAGUGGCGAAGGCGGCUUUCUGGACUGAAACUGACGCUGAGGCUCGAAAGCGUGGGGAGCGAACAGGAUUAGAUACCCUGGUAGUCCACGCUGUAAACGAUGAGUGCUAGGUGUCGGGGAGGAAUCCUCGGUGCCAGAGCAAACGCAAUAAGCACUCCACCUGGGGAGUACGACCGCAAGGUUGAAACUCAAAGGAAUUGACGGGGGCCCGCACAAGCGGUGGAGCAUGUGGUUUAAUUCGAUGAUACGCGAGGAACCUUACCCGGGCUCAAACGACGGAUGAAUACUUUUGAAAGGAGGUAGUCCUUCGGGACAUCCGUCGAGGUGCUGCAUGGUUGUCGUCAGCUCGUGCCGUGAGGUGUCGGCUUAAGUGCCAUAACGAGCGCAACCCCCAUCGCCAGUUGCCAACAGGUAAAGCUGGGAACUCUGGCGAGACUGCCGGCGCAAGCUGUGAGGAAGGCGGGGAUGACGUCAAAUCAGCACGGCCCUUACGUCCGGGGCGACACACGUGUUACAAUGGCAGGUACAGAGAGAUGCGACACGGCGACGUGGAGCGGAACUGUCAAAACCUGUCUCAGUUCGGAUCGGAGUCUGCAACCCGACUCCGUGAAGCUGGAUUCGCUAGUAAUCGCGCAUCAGCCAUGGCGCGGUGAAUACGUUCCCGGGCCUUGCACUCACCGCCCGUCA